AGGGGCAUGUGAGGGCUGUCGCUGACUCAAAGUCGUGCACGCCCGAGUGUGUCCUCUCACAUAAUAAUCCAUCUCACCCUUUGUGCAUCGCCGCGUGAGCACCCUUUGGGAUCAUCUCGGAGGGGGCUCGCGUUUUCACACAAACCCCCCUUUUAAAAGUGUAGAAUGACCUCAUUUAUGCGCUAACACGCAAUCAAUACAACUUUCAACAACGGAUCUCUUGGCUCUCGCAUCGAUGAAGAACGCAGCGAAAUGCGAUACGUAAUGUGAAUUGCAGAAUUCAGUGAAUCAUCGAAUCUUUGAACGCACCUUGCGCCCCUUGGUAUUCCGAGGGGCACACCCGUUUGAGUGUCGUGAAAACCUCAACCUCCUUGGUUUCUUCUGGAGACCAAAGGCAGGCUUGGACUUUGGAGGCCCUUGCUGGAACCUCUCUCUUUUGAAGGCCAGCUCCUCUUAAACGAAUUAGCAGGGUCCUCUUUGCCGAUCCUCGACGUGUGAUAAGAUGUUUCCAUGUCUUGGUUUCUGGCUCUGUCACUUUUGGGACCCGCUUCUAACCGUCUUGACCUUGCAUCGAGACAAUGUUCGAGCAUGUCUCCCUUCUCGGGAAGCUCCCUCGACCCCACGAACCCUUGACCUCAAAUCGGGUGAGACUACCCGCUGAACUUAAGCAUAUCAAUAAGCGGAGGAAAAGAAACUAACAAGGAUUCCCCUAGUAACUGCGAGUGAAGCGGGAAAAGCUCAAAUUUAAAAUCUGGCGGUCUUUGGCCGUCCGAGUUGUAAUUUARAGAAGCGUCUUCCGCGCUGGAC
rnacentral:rRNA from 1 species